UGGGGAAUAUUGCACAAUGGGGGAAACCCUGAUGCAGCGACGCCGCGUGAACGAAGAAGGUAUUCGUAUCGUAAAGUUCUGUCCUAUGGGAAGAUAAUGACAGUACCAUAGAAGAAAGCUCCGGCUAAAUACGUGCCAGCAGCCGCGGUAAUACGUAUGGAGCGAGCGUUGUCCGGAAUUAUUGGGCGUAAAGGGUACGCAGGCGGUUUAAUAAGUCGAAUGUUAAAGAUCGGGGCUCAACCCCGCAAAGCAUUGGAAACUGAUAAACUUGAGUAGUGGAGAGGAAAGUGGAAUUCCUAGUGUAGUGGUGAAAUACGUAGAUAUUAGGAGGAAUACCAGUAGCGAAGGCGACUUUCUGGACACAAACUGACGCUGAGGACGAAAGCGUGGGGAGCAAACAGG
rnacentral:rRNA from 1 species